rnacentral:rRNA from 1 species
UACGAAGGGGGCUAGCGUUGCUCGGAAUCACUGGGCGUAAAGCGCACGUAGGCGGCUUUCUAAGUCAGGGGUGAAAUCCUGGAGCUCAACUCCAGAACUGCCUUUGAUACUGGAAAGCUUGAGUUCGGGAGAGGUGAGUGGAACUGCGAGUGUAGAGGUGAAAUUCGUAGAUAUUCGCAAGAACACCAGUGGCGAAGGCGGCUCACUGGCCCGGAUACUGACGCUGAGGUGCGAAAGCGUGGGGAGCGAACUGG